GAAAAUUUAGUUAAACAAUAACAUUAACUUGUCAAGUUAAAAUUAUCUAUAAGAUAAUUUUCA
rnacentral:tRNA from 1 species